CCUACGGGUGGCAGCAGUGGGGGAUAUUGCACAAUGGGGGGAACCCUGAUGCAGCGACGCCGCGUGGGUGAAGAAGCGCCUCGGCGCGUAAAGCCCUGUCAGCAGGGAAGAAAAUGACGGUACCUGAAGAAGAAGCCCCGGCUAACUACGUGCCAGCAGCCGCGGUAAUACGUAGGGGGCAAGCGUUAUCCGGAUGUAAUGGGUGGAAAGGGGGCGGAGGCGGUGAUGACAGCCAGGAGUGAAAGCCCGGGGCCCAACCCCGGGACUGCACUUGAAACUGCGUGGCUGGAGUGCAGGAGGGGCAGGCGGAAUUCCUGGUGUAGCGGUGAAAUGCGUAGAUAUCAGGAGGAACACCGGUGGCGAAGGCGACCUUCUGGACUGCAACUGACGUUGAGGCCCGAAAGCGUGGGGAGCAAACAGGAUUAGAUACCCGUGUAGUC
rnacentral:rRNA from 1 species